CCCCCCAUCUAUUUUCAGUGCAGCAGCAGGGGAGGGGAGGCUCUAUUAAAACAUAAAUAAGAGCUUGUCAUUCCCCUGCUCAAAACCCUGCAGCAGUUUCUCAUUUCACUCGGAGGAAAACGCAACUCAAAUUCUAAAAAUGGCCUACAAAGCUGCACCUGAUCUUCCUGUCCGUACACAGUCUCUUCAUGUCUGCCGCUCUUCCCCCUUGAUGGUUUCUAGCUCUUCUAACCUUCUUGACUUAGGCCUUGACACUGACUGAUCCUUCUUCCUGGAAUUCUCUUCCCCCAGGUCUCUGCAUGGCUAAUUCUCUCAUCUCCUUCAAGUCUUCCCUUUGGUCUCAUUUACUCAAUAAUAACUGACCUCCCUAUUUAGGGCUGCAACCUGUCUUCACCCUCGUACUCCUGAUGCCCUUAUCACACUUGAUUUCUUUCCCCAUAGCACUUAAAACUUUCUGUAUAUAGAAGACACAACAAAUAAAGAGAGACAAAAUUUGUACCCAC
rnacentral:lncRNA from 1 species